AUACGGAGGGUGCGAGCGUUAAUCGGAAUUACUGGGCGUAAAGGGUGCGUAGGCGGCUUGAUAAGUCGGAUGUGAAAGCCCCGGGCUUAACCUGGGAAUUGCAUUCGAUACUGUCAGGCUAGAGUAUGUCAGAGGUUGGCGGAAUUCCUGGUGUAGCGGUGAAAUGCGUAGAUAUCAGGAGGAACACCAGUGGCGAAGGCGGCUAACUGGGGCAAUCCUGACGCUGAGGCACGAAAGCGUGGGGAGCAAACAGGAUUAGAAACCCCAGUAGUCC
rnacentral:rRNA from 1 species